UCGAACUGGAUGUUCUCGGGCAAGGAGCGGAUGUCCCUGCGGCGCGCCCGGCCGUAGCUGUCGACCACGGCCGAGAUGGCGGUGUUGUAGAGCGUCUCGGGCACCCACUCCAGCUCCACGGCCGCCAUCUUGCGUGUGCCGAGCGAGGGAUGGAGGGAGACGGGGAGGCCAGCGGCAGCGGAGGCACCCGCCUCUUCCUCCUUCUCCGCCCAAGCUGUGCUGCGCUGCGCUCUCCGGGCUGGGGCCGGCUUGCUCGCUCGCUCGGGGCUGGGGCCUGGGGCCUGCUCGCUCCGCCCAGCAGCCCGCCAGCCCGCUAGCGCUGGUACUCUCGCUCUCUGCCUCCCCUCAAGCCCAGCCGCCGAGGCGAGGCGUUCAGUUCCUGCCCUGCUUCGCCUCAGGCCGCGGGGCGAGGCCUGCUUGGGAGGGAACCGCUGGGGGCGCCGUCGCCCUUUUGGAGAAGGAUGGAGGGAAUUAAGGAGGAGAAAAGGAAAGAGGGAGAGAGAGAGAAGAAGAGCGCGAGAAGGAGGAGGAGGCGACGGCGGAGGAGGACGCCUGAGGGGACGGUGAAGGCCGCAGGCCGCGCUCUCCCUCUCCUCUUUGAAUGUUACCAUACCUGCUUGGGGAGGUGCCCAGAUGUGCUGUGGAAUAUAGUAGCUCAACGGUAGAGCACCUGCCUUGCAUGCAGAAGGUCCCAGGAUCAAUUCUUUGACAUCUCCAGGAGCAAACAUUCUCAUCCUGACUGCUUCUCCCUGAGAACUUAAAAUGUUUCUGAACAUGCCUGUGACACAGCAGCUCAGCCAAUGACUAGAGAGACAAG